CAUCUCCCCCAAGAGGCUCUGCCAUAACCUAGUAGGACCAGCCUGGGAACCAGACCAAUACAGUGGUUCUGCCUCUGAACUCAUGAUAACAAGGUGUCACUCCACCCAUGGCAGCUCUGGUUUCCGGCCCUGAAUCUAUACAAUCUCCCCCAAGAGGCUCUGCCAUAACCUAGUAGGACCAGCCUGGGAACCAGACCAAUACAGUGGUUCUGCCUCUGAACUCAUGGUAACAAGGUGUCACUCCACCCAUGGCAGCUCUGGUUUCCAGCCCUGAAUCUAUACCAUCUCCCCCAAGAGGCUCUGCCAUAACCUAGUAGGACCAGCCUGGGAACCAGACCAAUACAGUGGUUCUGCCUCUGAACUCAUGGUGAGUCGCUUGGCUCAUAGUUUAUGACUCUAUCCUGGUGAUGCCCAAAUAAU